CGGGGAGGAGCGGCCGCGGCCCCGCGGGAGUCCCUCGCGCACGGACCCGGAUCGCCAGCCGACUCCCAGACGGGAACGCCGCUUCUCUUCGCCUCCUCCGCGUCCCGGCGCGUUUUCCUCGCCAGCGCUCGAGGAGCAGCAGCAGCGGGGCUGGCAGCCCGGAGCGGCCCCGGUGACUCGGAGCUGCAGUGCGCGGUGUCAGCCUGCCGAGCCGCCCCCGGGCUCGGUAUCUGCCUCACCGCGCUGCCAGCUCCAUAGCCACGGCUUGGCACCGCUCCACCUCUCGGUGGGGAGCUGGCAGCGUCCCGCUCGUUCCCCAGCCCGGGGCCGUGUGGCGGCGGCGGCUGCGGAGCGCGGUCGGAGCCCAUGCGGCGGCAUUGAGGACUGAGGAGCGGCUGAGGUGCGCAAGGCUGACGGAUGCUGAAACACGAAGAUGAUUUAGCAAAACGCGAUCGAGGCUAGGGGAGAACACUGAAAAGUUAACUGGUAUUACCUCAUUUUGUGCUGACCCCUACACUAUGAACACAUACUGGUUUUGCUGUCACCUCAGACCAGUGGUGAAUACGAAGACUGUGGCCACUGAACUGCAUUUCUCUCUAUAAAGCAGCUUUAAAAUAACCAUCCAGAUGGCAGACAAGCAAGCAGUGGUGAUUGCCUGCAUUUUGGAAUUUUGACCUCAGCACCAUUGCAGACAGCUGUGGCUAAAGGUGAAAAUGAAACUCCUCUGUACAUGAUAAACCAAAGCCCUAGGAAUCAUCUCUCAGUAUUUUAACUGGCUGAGAUUUCAGGAGGUAGUACUGUUGCUCCAUCUGAAACACAAGUUUGCCUAAAUGCAACCCUCUGUAGUAAUAGUUGCUGCUGCUCCUUCCUCCUCGAGAAGGGUUAUUGCCUGCCCCAGGGCCUCCACCAAAGGCUUCCUCCCUGUGGAAUCCAUCGUGGUGGUCUCCAUCUAGAGAACUGGACCUCCCAGAUUUCGGCGCUCUCUGUGAAGGUCCCGAAUUUCCUCGUCCUGCAAAGGAAGCAUAGCCAGUUACUGGUGUGAGUUUGAGCUGAGUCUCUUCUCAGACAUGCCAGACACUGAGCUGCUUCUACUGUGGUGCCAUCAUUCAUAAACCAGCUGCAGCUGAGACCUGCAAUUUUAUGCCUCCUCCCUCAGUACAAUUUUCUUACACAGAUUUAGUGUCUCCAUUACAGUUCAGAAAGUGGACAACAAUCAAUUCGUUGGGAAUUAGAGGAGCUUGUAUUUGAUACUGUCAGCAGGCACUGAAAUGAAGUCAGAAUAAUGAUAGCUUUUCCUCCAAAACUGCCAGUUCUUGUGCUAACAAUGUGGUUCUCUCCAUGUUUUCAUUGCAAAAUACUUUUUUUUUAAUCCUAAACAAAGACAUUGCACUGUUGACAAAUUGAGACAGUUGAGGCUGAUGGUGAAGAUCGUGAGUAACAUUACUGUUUUGUUCAAUUUUUUGCUAAAAGUAAUAGAAAAAUGCUUUAUUUUACUACUAACCUGGAACAAAAAGUACUCAAGCUCUUACUGCCAGGAAUGGAAUGUUCUAAUUCUCACAGAACAGAAUUUUCUAAUUCUCACAUACCUUUUCCUUUUAUAUAUUUCCUAUGAACAACAAAAAACCCCAACCCAAUUCAUUAGCCUAUAAUAAGAAGCAGUAUUUUGAGAAAACAAAAUCAGUUGUAACUUUGUUUAAGGACACAUACUACAGCUAAAUUCAGGUAUUUUUGCUGCACUUUAGCAAGAGUGAUUUUUGUUGACUGGAUGGUUCCAUGUAAAACAGUCACCAAAUUGUUUCACAGAAACAUUCAUGAAGUUUUAAUCUCAAAAGACUUUCCCAAUACAACUGAAGGUGACACAGACCACAUAUGAAGAAUUGUUCAUGGUUUAUCAGGCUUUCUGCCAUCAUUCUAAACUUUCUUUAGCACAUUAUGAAUUAAUUACACACUUGUGCCUGGAAAACAAUUGUUUUGACUUUAACAAAGAAUCUGACAGAGUUACCACAAUCAUUACUGAAGCUGGAAAAGGAAUCUUUACAGAUUUGAUAGAUGCUGGCUAAAUUGAGAACUGCAGCAUGUGAUAUGGAAGGAAAAAUAAUGAUAGAGAAGUUUUAUCAGCAGAAGUUUUAUCAGAGAAGUUUUAUCAACCUGGGAACAGAGUCCAUGCAGAGGGGGAGUGACAGGCAGUUAAAACUGAAUGAGCUCUCACAGUGGUGAGAGAAGUGGGCUGGGAUUCAGUGUUCAAUGGCAUCAGAGACAAAGCUGUGCAGUCUGACAGCAACAAAUCCAGCUGCAGGCUGCCAGCUCAGCAGCCAAAUGAGAAGGAUGUUUGUCACUGAUCACUACCUGACAGUGGGUAGUCAAUGUGAGGACAUUAAAGUAUUUACACAAGAGAACAGAAGCCCUGAGAUCUGUAAGAAAUAGGAUCAAGAACUGGUGUGAUGCUAACAGCACUGACUCCAAAAGAAUGUGUUCUGUGGGUUACAGAAACAUGGGACCACUUAGAGGGAACUACAACACCAGGAACUGUGAGGAAAGAAUGGAGAAAGUGGAACAAGUACAAGAGAACUGUAGAAAUGCAUGGUUACACCACAUCUUAAACAGUGUGUGCAAUUCCUAGUUACCUCAUUUAAUUUAGAAAAGGAUAAUUUCAAACUCAAAAUAGCGCAUACAGAGUAACAAGGAUAGUGAAAGAGAACAGUUUCUAGAAAGAAGAAAAAAAUCAGAGCUCUGACUUGGAGAAGAGCUGGUUCAGGCUGGAAGUGGUGGAGUUCAGUGCAAUCAGAGGUGGCAUUCAGUAAUAACAGGAACCAACAUUCAUUACCACACAAGACAUCAAAUUAAAUUAGUGAAUGAUAAGUAUAGAUCAAGGGAAAAACAAUUUCCCUCUUUUUCUUUUAAAGCAUAGUCUGCUUCAAUUAAGUUUUAGAAGUCUGUCCAUGGAUGUUGUAUAUAUCAAAAGUUUAGAUGAUUCUUACACAAAAGGUAACUGGAAAGCCAUUAAAUAUAAAAAAAAUGUUUUAGUAAGUGAGAUCUUAGAGGUUUAGAGAGCACUUCAGGGACAUAUCACUCUAGGCUCAAUGUUCUUAAAUUUGAGUUAAAGAAUAACAUCACAAGCAUUAAUAUUAAUAAACAACUAUUCUGAAGAUGAGAGAAAAAUGCUCUUAAUGAGUUUUCCAGCUGGAGUAACAGGGAAUCAAAAACCAACUACUUUUCAACAGGGUAAUAAAGAAGAGGAUUCUGCAGUGCUGGAGACAAGAUUUGGAUUUGAUGUUUGAAAAUCCCUCUGUUCUUAUGUUCCUGUAAGACUGGUCUGUAACUUCCCAGCUGGUAACAUCAGAUAUUUACCAGCUCAGCUUUAUCCCCUCUGAACAGAGAAGUUCUGGAUACACUUAAUACUGAAAAUACAUUCCAGUGUUACAUAAGGGUUGCAAUCAAAGGGGCUUUUUACCUUUGCCCCUCUCCUCUGGAGGGCCACCUGGAGCAUCCAUGUCCCUGUGGUCAGAGGUUCCUGGUCCAUCGUGCCAGGGACGUUUCCGUGGUGGCAGUGAGGCCAUGUCCAUGCCCUGGAGUGAGGAGGAACGUUCUCUGUUGGCUGGAGAGUGCCCAUCAUGAGGAGGGUGAUCUGGACGAGGACCUGUGCAUGAAAACACAAGAUAAGAGUCUGGUUUCCUCCCUCCUUCGAAGCGUGGGAAUUCAUCUGGAGUAGGAAGCAAACCCUUCCGAGCUCCUGAGCAGUAAGAGAAGCAGGGGACAGGAGUGAGAAGAGACAUUGUAUUCAUGAAAAUAAUGUCACCUGCCCAAGAAGUGCCUUUCCUUCCUCAUCCUUGUGUUUCUGUGUGGAAGAACAUUGCCCUUACCUCUCGGAGCACCUCGCCCUCGCCCCCGAGCACCAUGGUCCCUUCCUCUGGAGUUUUCAUCUGGAGAGUCAAAAGCAUCAUCUGGCCCAAAAUCUUCAGGGCCAGGGAAGCCAUCUCUGCCCCUGGGUCCCCGGCCCUCGUGCCUCGAGGGUCCUCCUCUUCGGAAGCUACAACAAAGAACAGGAUACAAACGUGGCUUUUAGGCAUAAUUGAGGCAGUUUCAUUAUCAGCUCAUUUCUAAACUGUUUCACUUAAUGCUACAGCACAUACAGUUACUAGAACAGGAUUUGUAGGUGAAAGUGCUCAUUUCUGCCUUUGAGCACUUUGAUAGUAAGCUUUGUAAUCUUCCUCUCAUAUUUCGUUCCACGAUUAUGUUGGUUUUUCAUACAAGAAAAAUAUUAUUAAACACAGUGCAUUCAUUUAAUGAAAA